ACUCCUACGGGAGGCAGCAGUGGGGAAUCUUCCGCAAUGGACGAAAGUCUGACGGAGCAACGCCGCGUGUACGAUGAAGGUCUUCGGAUUGUAAAGUACUGUCUUCAGGGACGAACGGUAGGUAUGAAAAUAUUGUAUCUACAUGACGGUACCUGAGGAGGAAGCCCCGGCUAACUACGUGCCAGCAGCCGCGGUAAUACGUAGGGGGCAAGCGUUGUCCGGAAUCAUUGGGCGUAAAGGGCGCGUAGGCGGAUAAUUAAGUCUGGUGUGAAAACCUGG
rnacentral:rRNA from 1 species